CAGAGACAACUGCUGUUCUUUGAAUCUUGAGAUAAUCUCGGAGGAAGUCAUAAAGAAAGAUAACUGUUUUACCUGAUCCCAGACAUCCAGUAACAUGACAUCAUCCUCUGCCAGGUCAUCUUGGUUAAACUCACCAGGUCCAGGGUACUCACGAUGAACUUUCCAGUUUUGUUGGAGCAUGCGAACAGGCGGGGAGGAUGUGCUAUAGAUUUGCUCUCCAACAUCUCAGAUGUCUGAUACUUCAUCUUUCCACCCAGAGCUUUCCAGAAGUCCUCUUUCAAUGGGAAAAUGAGCAACAAGUUUUGAAAAACUGCUUAAAGAUGGGCAUCUCUCCACCCUCUGGAAGGACCUGGAUCUGUGUACAAGGACGAAAAGACCUGGGAUAUCCCAUCUGCUUAAUGAAGCCCUCAGCUGUAUUCAUGGCCUCCUUCCUUUCAUCUGGAUUUGCGUUGCGGCCUAGAUCAUCACAAAAUAAGGUCAAGGAAUCUCAAAUGAAGCAUUCCUCAGACAACAGUUCACUCUGGUUAAACGGAUUUUCAUCUGACACAAGCGACACUUGCAUUUUCCCUGUUGCAUCUGAUACCUGUAAUGUGCAAUUGUAUUUAAAUAAUAUCCUGU